rnacentral:rRNA from 1 species
UACGUAGGGGGCUAGCGUUGUCCGGCAUCAUUGGGCGUAAAGCGCGCGUAGGUGGCUUCGUAAGUCCGUUGUGAAAGUCAAAGGCUCAACCUUUGAAAGCCGAUGGAUACUGCGGAGCUAGAGUACGGAAGAGGAGAAUGGAAUUCCUGGUGUAGCGGUGAAAUGCGCAGAUAUCAGGAGGAACACCAAUGGCGAAGGCAGCUCGCUGGGACGGUACUGACGCUGAGGCGCGAAAGCGUGGGGAGCAAACAGG